GCGGCUACUUUCACCGGCCGAAACCCGGCGCUCAAUGGCGUCGCCCGCGGCCUUCCAGCAGUUGAGAGAGCUGAUCGAGGUCCAGGAGACUUUACUGGACCAACUGAGGCGAAAGAUAAAAAUACAGGAAGAGAACUCAGUAAACAAGGAGGAAUAUGAAGCUGUUGUGAAGAAACUAGAGAAGGAAGAGAAAGAACAUGCAGAGACGAAAAAUACCUUAGCUAUAACAUCUGAACGUCUGGAGUUCGCCCUAGGAGAGAUUGAUAUUUUGUUGAAACAACUUGAGCGGGAGAAACAAGCAUUUGAAAACGCGCUUUCUCAAGUAAACAGCAAAGUGCUAAAACAGUCACUUCAGAAGGACAAACUUAUAAGCAAAUGUACAGAAAUUGAAACCCAUAUCCAAAAGCAGGAAAACAUUCUAAGCUGCAAGGAAAAUGAGAUCAAGGAGUUGCGUCACUUCAUCAACAAGCAGAAGCAAACCUUAAAGAAACAAGCAUCUGAAUUCAAGAUUCAGAAACAGCAAGAAAGUUACAUAGCAAAUGUGCUUGGAAAAAGGCUCCAGAAAGAUUUUAAGUAACUGCCAAAGCAUUCCCUUAAGUUGCUAGUUGAGGACUGUCUUUCUACUCCAAAGGAUGGAUUUCCCAGGUUUCCUCACUGAGAAAUUCACCACAAAAUACUUUAAAUUUAGCUCCAUUGGUGAACUGAUCUGACCCAGAGUAUCCAGUAGCUUAUGAUCUUGGCAUGCCUCCAGUGGAUUAGCACCUGCUGCUGUUCCUUUGCUGAUCCUUUUUGGAAAAAAAUAAACAACAUAUUUUGCUAUAGUUUCCACUAA